rnacentral:rRNA from 1 species
AUGAUCAGAGGAGCUGGGCUCCUUGCGAGCUCAACCUAUUCUCAAACUUUCAAUGGGUGAGACGUCUCGCUGGCUUCACUGCAGCGACGACUCUGAAUCCGAGUGCCCAGUGGGCCACUUUUGGUAAGCAGAACUGGCGAUGCGGGAUGAACCGCAUGUCGAGUUAAGGUGCCUAAGCGGACGCAAAUCAGAUACCAUGAAAGGUGUUGAUUGCUCACGACAGCAGGACGGUGGCCAUGGAAGUCGGCAUCCGCUAAGGAGUGUGUAACAACUCACCUGCCGAAGCAAUCAGCCCUGAAAAUGGAUGGCGCUAAAGCGUUCCACCGAUACUCGACCGUCGUCGGCACGCGAUCGACUUCCGUUCGGUCUCAGGCCACGACGAGUAGGGCGGCGCGGUGGUGAGCGUCGAAGGCGUAGCCGUGAGGCUAGCUGGAGCCGCCAUCGGUGCAGAUCUUGGUGGUAGUAGCAAAUACACAAGCAAGAUCCUUGUGGACCGAUGUGGAGAAGGGUUCCGCGCGAACAGUACUUGGACGUGGGUGAGUCGGCCCUAAGCCAACGGGUAAUUCCCGCAUCCCGC